ensembl:lncRNA
GGUCAAGGCAGGCAGGGGUCAGUAACCAGAGGUGGGGCAACGGUACCGGGCGGCAGGCAGGCAGGGGUCAGUAACCAGAGGUGGGGCAACGGUACCGGGCGGCAGGCAGGGUCAAGGCAGGCAGGGGUCAGUAACCAGAGGUGGGGCAACGUUACCGGGCGGCAGGCAGGCAGGGGUCAGUAACCAGAGGUGGGGCAACGGUACCGGGCGGCAGGCAGGGUCAAGGCAGGCAGGGGUCAGUAACCAGAGGUGGGGCAACGUUACCGGGCGGCAGGCAGGCAGGGGGCAGGAGUCAGUAACCAGAGGUGGGGCAACGGUACCGGGCGGCAGGCAGGGUCAAGGCAGGCAGGGGUCAGUAACCAGAGGUGGGGCAACGGUACCGGGCGGCAGGCAGGGUCAGGGUAAGGCAGGGGUCAGUAACCAGAGGCGGGGCAAUGGUACCGGGCGGCAGGCAGGGUCAGGGUAAGGCAGGGGUCAGUAACCAGAGGCGGGGCAACGGUACCGGGCGGCAGGCAGGCAGGCAGGCAGGCAGGCUCAGGGUCAGGGUAAGGCAGGAGUCAGUAACCAGAGGCGGGGCAACGGUACCGGGCGGCAGGCAGGCUCAGGGUCAGGGUAAGGCAGGGGUCAGUAACCAGAGGCGGGGCAACGGUACCGGGCGGCAGGCAGGGUCAGGGUAAGGCAGGGGUCAGUAACCAGAGGUGGGGCAACGGUACCGGGCGGCAGGCAGGGUCAGGGUAAGGGUAAGGCAGGAGUCAGUAACCAGAGGCGGGGCAACGGUACCGGGCGGCAGGCAGGCUCAGUGUCAGGGUAAGGCAGGGGUCAGUAACCAGAGGUGGGGCAACGGUACCGGGCGGCAGGCUCAGGGUCAGGGUAAGGCAGGGGUCAGUAACCAGAGGUGGGGCAACGGUACCGGGCGGCAGGCAGGCUCACGGUAAGGGUAAGGCAGGAGUCAGUAACCAGAGGUGGGGCAACGGUACCGGGCGGCAGGCAGGCUCAGUGGAAACGCAUCUUGCUG